rnacentral:tRNA from 1 species
GUUAGUACAGCAAAACGGACAUGCAAAAGACCUAAGCCCUUUUAUUUUGAGGUUCAAAUCCUCAUACUAACU